AGGGUAAUAGGUUUUUACCACUUCCUUUGCAAGGAAGAGAUUCGUCUUAGACGAUUACCUUA
rnacentral:tRNA from 1 species